UGGGGAAUUUUGCACAAUGGGCGCAAGCCUGAUGCAGCGACGCCGCGUGAGGGAUGAAGGCCUUCGGGUUGUAAACCUUUUUCGCUCAUGGUCAAGCCGCAGCUUUGGGUUGUGGUGAGGGUAGCGGGUAAAGAAGCGCCGGCUAACUACGUGCCAGCAGCCGCGGUAAUACGUAUGGGGCGAGCGUUGUCCGGAAUUAUUGGGCGUAAAGGGUACGUAGGCGGUCUAUUAAGUCAGGUGUGAAAGCGUGAGGCUUAACCUCAUUAAGCACUUGAAACUGAUAGACUUGAGUGAAGGAGAGGAAAGUGGAAUUCCUAGUGUAGCGGUGAAAUGCGUAGAUAUUAGGAGGAAUACCGGUGGCGAAGGCGACUUUCUGGACUUUUACUGACGCUCAGGUACGAAAGCGUGGGGAGCAAACAGG
rnacentral:rRNA from 1 species